UUCCCCAUUUUAGGAACUGAUAUUUUUUAGAAAAUCUGUAAGUGAUACUCUUACCCUGUAUUGUGAUGUGAUGUGCAAUACGGACAGUUUUUUCCUAAGCCAAUCCCCCCAAUUCUAUAGUCCCUCAUGCAAUUUGAAUUGAGCAUCAUUCAGCAUUAGCCGAUAGCAUUCAGAAUCUGCUUACAGAUGUCAAUCGCAGAGUUUGUGUGCACAUUUGCGGUCCUUGCAGAUGUACCUACUGAUGCAGAUUUGAUAAAAUAAGAAUAUAUAUGUAUAUAAAUAUAUAUAUAUAUGUAUCAGACUGGCUCACUUUGGGCAAUGGCCCACCGGAAAUGUCAUGGUCUGUGCUGAGCUAACACCUGUUUGAGUUUCUCUGUGUGCAGGUGGGUGUGUCUGGAGAGCAGCUGUUGUUGAUCUCCUCAUCAGUGGUCAGGGGAUUUAAGGAGUGUCGGGACAACACAUCAGCGCUGGAUGAUUACUCAGUAUUGGGUACCUUCCAUUCAUCUGCCAACUUCCACCACCAAGCAAGAGACUCACCGGAUCAUCCUGCUUACCAGCCCGUCAAUCGCCCCUGACCGCCUGCUCUCCAACCCCCACCUGCCAUCAGUACAACCUGGACUCCGGUGCUCAGCUCCCAGCCAUUUCCUCUGCCUCUCGCCUGACCAACUCAGCCAGCCCUGACGUGCCCUCCUCUCAAAACUCUCUCUAACUAACUGGAAACCAACUUCAUCAGAACCUCCCGAAUCCCAUUCAACAUCUGCAUCACUCAUCCAACUUUAAUAAAUAAUUUUACUCACCUUC